rnacentral:rRNA from 1 species
GACGUAGGGCGCGAGCGUUGUCCGGAUUUAUUGGGCGUAAAGAGCUCGUAGGCGGCUCGUUGCGUCAGCUGUGAAAACCCGCAGCUCAACUGUGGGCUUGCAGCUGAUACGGGCGGGCUAGAAUUCGGUAGGGGAGACUGGAAUUCCUGGUGUAGCGGUGAAAUGCGUAGAUAUCAGGAGGAACACCUGUGGUGUAGACAGCUUACUGGACCACUUCUGACGCUGAGACACGAAAGCGUGGGUAGCAAACAGG